rnacentral:tmRNA from 1 species
GGGGACGUUAUGGAUUCGACAUGUAUAGGUCGAACCUGGAUUGCGUUUCGCAGUGGGAAUCUGCGUCAUCAAGUCCCACCUAAAUUUAUAACUGCAAAUAACAGUAAUAAAUCUCUUGCAUUAGCUGCCUAAUAAGCGCUAAGUGAGGAUCCUCCCGACUUCGCUCAUGGGUUGGAUCUGGGUCUUAAAUUAAGUGAGCUUACGCUGGUUGCUCCCACCUGAAGUGACCAGAAGAGACUAAUCAGGUUAGCCAAUCACGGUUGCCCUGACAUGCGGCGUUUUGAUUGGUGAAUUUAAAUAGUAUGCCUAUGAACGUAGAUAUCCGGGUGGCGAUAUGCUUGGACGCGGGUUCGAUCCCCGCCGUCUCCAUUG